rnacentral:rRNA from 1 species
CCCUACGGGGCGCAGCAGUGAGGAAUAUUGGUCAAUGGGCGGGAGCCUGAACCAGCCAAGUCGCGUGAGGGAAGACGGUCCUAUGGAUUGUAAACCUCUUUUGUCGGAGAACAAAACCCGGGACGUGUCCCGGACUGCGUGUAUCCGAAGAAAAAGCAUCGGCUAACUCCGUGCCAGCAGCCGCGGUAAUACGGAGGAUGCGAGCGUUAUCCGGAUUUAUUGGGUUUAAAGGGUGCGUAGGCGGUCCGUUAAGUCAGCGGUAAAAUUGCGGGGCUCAACCCCGUCGAGCCAUUGAAACUGGCAGA